AUAUUUUUUCUUACCUGACAGAUGUUAUGAUCAGGGCUUUCGGGAGUCUCCUAAUUGAUAAAAGGUGUUAUUAUCAGGGCUUUCGGGAGUCUCCUAAUUGAUAAAAGAUGUUAUCAGCCUGGAUUUCGGGAGUCUCCUGAUCGAAAAAAGAUGUUAUGAUCAGGGCUUUCGGGAGUCUCCUAAUUGAUAAAAGAUGUUAUCAGCCUUGAUUUCGGGAGUCUCCUGAUCGAAAAAAGAUGUUAUGAUCAGGGCUUUCGGGAG